rnacentral:rRNA from 1 species
AUUGAACGCUGGCGGCAGGCCUAACACAUGCAAGUCGAGCGGAGCGGCGGACGGGUGAGUAAUGCCUAGGAAUCUGCCGGGUAGUGGGGGAUAACGUCAGGAAACGGGCGCUAAUACCGCAUACUAUCAGAUGAGCCUAGGUGGGAUUAGCUAGUUGGAGGGGUAAAGGCCUACCAAGGCGACGAUCCGUAACUGGUCUGAGAUGAGGAUCAGCCACACUGGAACUGAGACACGGUCCAGACUCCUACGGGAGGCAGCAUGGGGGAAUAUUGGACAAUGGGCGAAAGCCUGAUCCAGCCAUGCCGCGUGUGUGAAGAAGGUCUUCGGAUUGUAAAGCACUUUAAGUUGGGAGGCGUUACCAACAGAAUAAGCACCGGCUAACUACGUGCCAGCAGCCGCGGUAAUUC